GACGAACGCUGGCGGCGUGCCUAAUACAUGCAAGUUGAGCGCUGAAGGUUGGUACUUGUACCAACUGGAUGAGCAGCGAACGGGUGAGUAACGCGUGGGGAAUCUGCCUUUGAGCGGGGGACAACAUUUGGAAACGAAUGCUAAUACCGCAUAAAAACUUUAAACACAAGUUUUAAGUUUGAAAGAUGCAAUUGCACCACUCAAAGAUGAUCCCGCGUUGUAUUAGCUAGUUGGUGAGGUAAAGGCUCACCAAGGCGAUGAUACAUAGCCGACCUGAGAGGGUGAUCGGCCACAUUGGAACUGAGACACGGCCCAAACGCCUACGGGAGGCAGCAGUAGGGAAUCUUCGGCAAUGGACGAAAGUCUGACCGAGCAACGCCGCGUGAGUGAAGAAGGUUUUCGGAUCGUAAAACUCGGUUGGUAGAGAAGAACGUUGGUGAGAGUGGAAAGCUCAUCAAGUGACGGUAACUACCCAGAAAGGGACGGCUAACUACGUG
rnacentral:rRNA from 1 species